UUAGCCGCUGAAAUAGAUGGA
rnacentral:miRNA from 1 species